UUAAUUUUACAACGAAAAAUUAAAAUAAAAUAAUUUCUACCUUGACUGCAUCAGUGGCUAGGGAGGUUCUUGGUGAGGUUGAUUCAUUCCCCAAGCGUAAACUGCACUAGAGGUCUGCUGCAAAGACUUGGGGGUUUAAGGACAAAUGCCCAAAAGAGCAGUAGAAGGUCUCCAAGCUGAUCAAGGGAGAGAUUUUUAUGCUGAAUGUUGGGUCAAUGGCAAUGGGGCCUCGAGUUAUUGGUGUAAGGAGGGAACUAGGAGAAGGUUGAAUUGAAAUUGAAAGAACCAGUGUGUACCAGGACAGGGCAUAAGGUUGCACCGAGCAGGAAGAUUGAUAUACAUUGGCGUCUGAUUGGACGGAUUGAAAUCAAAGACCAAAUCACCACUGCUCUGGAGGUUCC
rnacentral:misc_RNA from 1 species